rnacentral:rRNA from 1 species
AGUAAACGCUGGCGGUAGGCCUAACACAUGCAAGUCGAACGGCGGCACAGUAAGAGCUUGCUCUUACGGGUGGCGAGUGGCGGACGGGUGAGGAAUACAUCGGAAUCUACUUUUUCGUGGGGGAUAACGUAGGGAAACUUACGCUAAUACCGCAUACGACCUACGGGUGAAAGCAGGGGAUCUUCGGACCUUGCGCGAUUGAAUGAGCCGAUGUCGGAUUAGCUAGUUGGCGGGGUAAAGGCCCACCAAGGCGACGAUCCGUAGCUGGUCUGAGAGGAUGAUCAGCCACACUGGAACUGAGACACGGUCCAGACUCCUACGGGAGGCAGCAGUGGGGAAUAUUGGACAAUGGGCGCAAGCCUGAUCCAGCCAUACCGCGUGGGUGAAGAAGGCCUUCGGGUUGUAAAGCCCUUUUGUUGGGAAAGAAAAGCAGCAGGUUAAUACCCCGCUGUUCUGACGGUACCCAAAGAAUAAGCACCGGCUAACUUCGUG